rnacentral:tRNA from 1 species
AAAAAGGUAAGCUAAAAAAGCUAUUGGGUUCAUACCCCACUUAUAAAGGUUAUACCCCUUUCCUCUUUA